rnacentral:rRNA from 1 species
AACGCGAAGAACCUUACCUGGUCUUGACAUCCUUGGAAUCCCCCAGAGAUGGGGGAGUGCCCUUCGGGGAACCAAGAGACAGGUGCUGCAUGGCUGUCGUCAGCUCGUGUCGUGAGAUGUUGGGUUAAGUCCCGCAACGAGCGCAACCCUCGCCUUUAGUUGCCAUCAUUCAGUUGGGCACUCUAAAGGGACUGCCGGUGUUAAACCGGAGGAAGGUGGGGAUGACGUCAAGUCCUCAUGGCCUUUAUGACCAGGGCUACACACGUGCUACAAUGGCCGGUACAAAGCGCAGCGAAGUCGCGAGACGAAGCCAAUCGCAAAAAACCGGUCUCAGUUCGGAUUGAAGUCUGCAACUCGACUUCAUGAAGUCGGAAUCGCUAGUAAUCGCGGAUCAGCACGCCGCGGUGAAUACGUUCCCGGGCCUUGUACACACCGACGCGUA